rnacentral:rRNA from 1 species
GACGAACGCUGGCGGCGUGCUUAACACAUGCAAGUCGAACGGUGAAGCGCUUGCCUUUUUGGUGGGUGUGGAUGAGUGGCGAACGGGUGAGUAACACGUGAGUAACCUGCCCUCUUCUUCUGGAUAACCUCAUGAAAGUGGGGCUAAUACGGGGUAUUCCGGGUCUGUCGCAUGGCGGGUUUGGGAAAGAUUGCGCCUUUGGGUGUUUUCGGUGGGGGAUGGGCUCGCGGCCUAUCAGCUUGUUGGUGGGGUGAUGGCCUACCAAGGCGGUGACGGGUAGCCGGCCUGAGAGGGUGGACGGCCAGCCUGGGACUGAGACACGGCCCAGACUCCUGCGGGAGGCAGCAGUGGGGAAUAUUGCACAAUGGGCGCAAGCCUGAUGCAGCGACGCCGCGUGAGGGAUGGAGGCCUUCGGGUUGUGAACCUCUUUCGCCAGUGAAGCAGGCCUGCUCCUGUGUGGGUGGGUUGACGGUAGCUGGAUAAGAAGCGCCGGCUAACUACGUG